rnacentral:rRNA from 1 species
GGAAUUUUCCACAAUGGGCGAAAGCCUGAUGGAGCAACGCCGCGUGCAGGAUGAAUGCCUUCGGGUUGUAAACUGCUUUUAUUAGUGACGAUUAUGACGGUAACUAAUGAAUAAGGACCUGCUAACUACGUGCCAGCAGCCGCGGUCAUACGUAGGGUCCAAGCGUUAUCCGGAAUUACUGGGCGUAAAGAGUUGCGUAGGUGGCAGAGUAAGUAGAUAGUGAAAGCGUGUGGCUCAACCAUACAUCCAUUAUCUAAACUGCUCAGCUAGAGGACGAGAGAGGUAGAUGGAAUUCCUGAUGUGGGGGUAAUAUCCGUAGAUAUCAGGAGGAACACCGAUGGCGUAAGCAGUCUACUGGCUCGUUCCUGACACUAAGGCACGAAAGCGUGGGGAGCAAA